GAAGAGUAUAGCUCAGUGGUAGAGUGUGUGCCUCAUAUGCAUAAGGUUCUGGGUUCGAUCCCCAGUACCUCCA